UACGAGGGGUGCAAGCGUUGCUCGGAAUUAUUGGGCGUAAAGGGUAGGUAGGUGGUCUCAUUUGUCUGGGGUGAAAGCCUUGAGCUUAACUCGAGAAGUGCCUCAGAAACGGUGAGACUAGAGUUCUGGAGAGGGUCGUGGAAUUCCCGGUGUAGCGGUGAAAUGCGUAGAGAUCGGGAGGAACACCAGAGGCGAAGGCGGCGACCUGGACAGAUACUGACACUCAACUACGAAAGCGUGGGGAGCAAACAGG
rnacentral:rRNA from 1 species